GCUUGAUCCACUUGCAAAUACUUCGCAGAUAAGCCAGCAGUUCCGUUCAGUAGUUUUGGGAUAGCAGCAGCAGUGGCAUGACUAAUCCAGGUCUCAGUCGGAUUGACAUCUGUCAGCAGGAGGGUAUCGGCCCUUGUAAGCAGGAGGGACCAGGGCUACCUGAAGAUUUUGCUGCGCAUCUCUCCACAAAGUGAAGAUCUGGAAAGACCAGAGACCAAGAAGCGUUGCAGAACUGGCUCUACAAGCAAGUCCCUCUGACAAUCCACUGAAUCCUAUGUAUAUGCUUCUCAAACGUCACGUGUCCUCCACACGUCUUACCUCACCAUGUGUCUUGCCUCAGCACUGGAGUCUUUCAGUCUGUGUCAGCUGACAUCACUUUAUCAAUCUUCACAAGUUGGCAGAAGUGGCAAGAAGCAGCCAGCCUGCCACCAGAAGUUUUUGGUGAAUUUCUCUCUACGGAGUCAUGACAAUUGGAGCUCAACGAUGCGUGUAAAGCGGACCAAUAGAUGUAUGUCAUCAGGAAGAAUCCUUCAUCACGAGUCCUUUCGUGCGCUUGCUUUAGCAAAACAUCCUCUCACCUGUGUCCAUUUCAGGAAAACACUCCUUCCAUGUGUUUGCCCCAGCAAAAUACCAGCCAACACAACUUUCCAAAGAAACCAGAAGCUUCCACCUCAUUGGACUAUUGAAGCGAGGAUGUUUUUAAGAGAAGCAAACCUGCAGAUUAUCUCACCGAAUUAGUCAGCUUCUAGGCAGGAAACAUGCUACAAUCAACACAAUUUAACGGAAAAGAACACAACUAAGGGACUAUUCACAGGGGCGUUGGCAAGACCGAGGCAACUAGCAACCGUGGGAAGCCAUUCCACCCAGACAGAGUGCUGCAGGGCCAUUGGAAGGAAAAGUGGCCAUUAGCGACCUGCGCCAGCCUGAAGCCGUAGAAGGAAACCUUUUGGACUGUGUGCUUAUUAAAUCUGUCCUUUCUGCCUUCAGGCUUUACCCACCUA